CUGUAAAUCUUGACAAUAAACCUGAUUUCCGAAGGCGGUUUAUUUAACCGCCUUUGGAAAUCAGGUUUAUUGUCAAGAUUUACAGA
rnacentral:miRNA from 1 species